rfam:Olsenella sp. oral taxon 807 strain F0089, complete genome.
UUUACCCAGGUCUGUGGUUGCGGGAUUCGGCCCCUGCCUUUUCUAGGCGGUCGGUUGAUACCCUAGUCCAUGACAGACGAGGUCAAAGGGAUCCACGUAAGCCGGACGUGAGCGUGCCGGCGAGCAUGGCUCGUCCUAGGAGUAAGUCGCACCGCCCGACGAUAAGCAAGGACGUGGGGUCCUGCGGGCGAGAGAGCCCACGGUGGGGGGCCGUAGCCCCGAAGCCAAAGCCCCGGUGCGCGAGUGUGGGGGAAAAUACCAGGUCAGCUGGGUAAG